ensembl:lincRNA 4930509K18Rik RIKEN cDNA 4930509K18 gene
AGAAGAACCGGAAGUCGGGCUGGGCUGAGCCCCUCAAAGCCCAUUAACAGGGAACUACUUCUCCACCGAGGCUCCAUCCCCCUCAAGGCUUGCUUAGCUUUAGAGGGCUAGUCUUUGCUCAUUAUAGUAGGGAGCAGACAAUCAUGAUGCUGGAGCCGUAGUUAAAAGCUUUACAUCCUGAUUCACAGGCGGCAGACAGAGAGACACUGGACCUGAUGUGACUUUUGAAACCUUAGAGCCCACCCCCAGAGUCCCACCUUCUCCAACAAGACCACACUUCCUAAUCUUUCCCAAACAGUUCUACUAACUGGGAGCUAAGCAUUUAAACAUAUGACCACCUGGGAGCCAUUUUCAUUCAAACCACCACCGUCCCCAGUUGAGAAUCAUGGGAGUUACACUGUGCUUGCUCUGAGUUUACCUCUAGGAAGACUGGCAGUUUUUCCAUUAGGUUCUUGGAGCUCUAAGAGGCCUCAGAGAGAAGCUCUAGGACUCCACGGAGAGGUCCUGGGCCACCUGUCGUCAUUCUUUCUUCUAGCCAUCAUGUCACCAAGCUGGUGUGAAGGCCCUGUGGAUCCUCCAGGCCACCUCAUGAACCUGUUCACCAGACAUCACACCUAGAACAGCCAUCCAGUUGAAUCCUGCCCAAAUGCUUUACCCAUGAAAUGGGUUUCACGAGGUUCACACAUAUCUCAAACCUCAUCGGAGAAAUUUCUAUUUGCAGUAGACAGUGAUCAACGCAGAUACUUGCAAAUGGUCAAGGAGAAUCCAAGAAGGGCAUGAUGGUCUGGAUGCAAAGAUGCUUCCCUUCGUGUCUAUAAAACAGAGAAGACCGUCAGUGCUCAGGAGUCAGGACUGCUGCUGUGUCCCUCAGUGACCCACUUAGAGGAGAUACCUGGACAACGUCAGCCACCCUGGUCAGAGCAUUCAUCCUCUGGUCCUGAGAUCCUCUCCUGCUUCCCCCGAGUCUUUCUCUGUGAACUUGCCUUUCUCUUUUCACGUUCUACUUUCAUAAAGGAAUAAAGAUAGAAUAUUUAAAUUUAAAAAAAAUCCCACAAAGAUAUAGUAUUUAAAAGGAGCACUCAGCCUAACUCAAGUUCCAUUUUUGGGUCUGAGUGACAAGAGCCCCCGUUUGCCUGGCUUGUCCUCUCUCUGUAUAUGUUGCUUCCUCUUGGGACCACACAGGAGCAGUGACUUUGUAGCAACUAGAAUUUAUAUGGUAAGGAUCCAGUGUCCAAGACAUUUGUCUCUCAAAUUAUAAAUAUCUUUCUACAUUCAAAGAGCUGUGUUUAUGUAAAUAAUAUCUAUGGUUAAGCUUCUUAAACAUCAAUUUCAUAAUGCUUAGGAAACCCUGGCAUUAACAGUAUAUAUGAAGGUCCCUUCCUUCGCCAGCAGUUGAAUCUAUAGUAUGCUGUUAACCCAAGUCUUCACUGACCUACCUCUGGCUUCUUGGUUUGGUUUCUCCUUGGGAGGGCACCAGCUCAUGGGUGUCUUUUACCGCUAUGUCUUAUGUGCUCGUUUCUUUGUGUUAUUCAUUAAAUAGUGAUGAGACUAUCACUACUAUUAAGUAGGGAGACACUAGGCAUAGCCAAGACAUUGCCAUGCCCUAGAAGUCUCUAGAUUUCCAAGUAUGUCAAUAUCUUCUCCAAAUCUUUCUUCCUACGAAUGAGCAUGUUGCCAUGGUAACAGCUGAGUAUUGGUGUUAAUAAGAAGUCUUGCAAGGAGGAAAAUUCUUUUAAUGUAAAGGUAGCACUGUGACUUAUUUAUUUAAAUCAAUUAUUCAUUCCCUUAUUAAAUGAGUUUUCAAGCUGC